rnacentral:tRNA from 1 species
GGGGAAUUAGCUCAGUUGGGAGAGCGCGGGCUUUGCAAGCCUGAGGCCACCGGUUCGAGUCCGGUAAUCUCCA